rnacentral:snoRNA from 1 species
AUCCUUUUCCGGUUCAUAAACAUGAUGAUUGGGCGUUCACACGUUUGUGUGAUAUGUGACUCCCUUAAAUCUUGUUAAGCAUUUGGCACAUUAACACAUUGCCU